UACGUAGGGGCGAGCGUUGUCCGAAGUUACUGGCGUAAAGCGCACGUAGGCGGUUAUCUAAGUCUGGUGAAAGGUUCAGUGCUUAACGCGAACAGUGCCUUGGAGACUGGAUGACUUGAGUUUGGGAGAGGUAGUGGAAUGGCUGGUGUAGCGGUGAAAUGCGUAGAUAUCAGUCGGAACACCAAUGGCGAAGGCAGCUACCUGGCCUAAACUGACGCUGAGGUGCGAAAGCGUGGAGCGAACGGG
rnacentral:rRNA from 1 species